CCAGACUCCUACGGGAGGCAGCAGUGGGGAAUAUUGGGCAAUGGGCGCAAGCCUGACCCAGCAACGCCGCGUGAAGGAAGAAGGCCCUCGGGUUGUAAACUUCUUUUAUCAGGGACGAAACAAAUGACGAUACCUGAUGAAUAAGCCACGGCUAACUACGUGCCAGCAGCCGCGGUAAUACGUAGGUGGCAAGCGUUAUCCGGAUUUAUUGGGUUUAAAGGGUGCGUAGGCGGAAUGCCAAGUCAGCGGUAAAAUCGCGGGGCUCAACCUCGCUCCGCCGUUGAAACUGGCAGUCUCGAGUUGGAGAGAAGUAUGCGGAAUGCGCGGUGUAGCGGUGAAAUGCAUAGAUAUCGCGCAGAACUCCGAUUGCGAAGGCAGCAUGCCGGCUCCACACUGACGCUGAGGCACGAAAGCGUGGGUAUCGAACAGGAUUAGAUACCCUAGUAU
rnacentral:rRNA from 1 species